AAGAGGGCUCAAAUUUAUUGCGGCUGUCCAGUGUUGGCUUCUCUGUUACCUCAUCGUUAUCGCCUUAGUUUUGUUACGCAUCCAACACGGCCAGAGAAUUUCUCUGAUUCAUCAACAAGCGGGAGAUUUUCCCUUGAUCUACUUUUGUAUGUACCGGAUGUUUCAGAAAGUUGAUUCCGUUUCUCCCCGUCGGCCAUGUCCGACUGAUUUUUACCCGCCAUCAUCGAUUCAUCAAUAAACGUAAGAUUCUUCGUCGAUCUAUCGAGAUUCAGUUCCGUCUUUGAUUUUGUGUUUACUGUCUACCAUCAGAUCUACUUGUUAUCGAAUUCUGAUGCGUCGAUCUACUUUUGCAUGUACCAGAAAUUACAGAAACUUGAUUCCGUUUCACCCUAUCGUCUUUGUUUGGCUGAUUUUCAUUCUCCAUCAUCGAUUCAUCGUUAAACGUGACCUUCCUCCUCGCUUGCUUGCCCUCAAUUGCUACCCUUCUCAUCUUGUCUGCAUCAACUCAUAUUCAAAGGCAAAAUAUAUUAUUGAUAUUUACAAUGUCUUGUAUGGAACUCCUGAGUUAGAACUUCUGCUCCAGUCUCCGCUUGGGUCAAUUUUUUUGCUUCCUAUCAGGCAGUGUUCUUUGUCUAGUCAGCUUCUGCACCAGUUACUACGUAGGCAGCUGUUUACAUCUGAAGUUGAUGCAACCUGGUUUGUGUUUGCAGGACAGCCAUUACGGUUUUCUUUGCAAGAGUUUGAGGAAGUCACAGGUUUGUGUUGUUCUAAAUAUCCGUCAGCUGCUGAAGUACGUUCUACUACUUCAUAUGAUGAUGGCGAAUCUCCUUACUUGUACAAACUCAUUGAGGGCCAACUCGGUUUGACGACUGUGAAAUCAUUGGUUAGCCGUCUCAAAUCUGAUUGUGCCAUGUCUUCUUGGCGUAAAUUCCAAAUAUCUCUUGUUGUUAUUGUUGAAGGUGUCUGAUAUAGGUUAAAUUAAUCCUAAGACCACUCUCUCAAAUAAAGAGGUCAGUUGCAGC